AUACGGAGGAUGCAAGCGUUAUCCGGAAUGAUUGGGCGUAAAGCGUCCGUAGGUGGUGAUGUGUGUCUAUUGUCAAAGGCUCUGGCUUAACCAGAGACAGGCAGUAGAAACUGCAGAACUAGAGUGCAUUCGGGGCAGGGGGAAUUCCUGGUGUAGCGGUGAAAUGCGUAGAGUUCAGGAAGAACACCGGUGGCGAAAGCGCCCUGCUAGGCUGUCACUGACACUGAGGGACGAAAGCUAGGGGAGCGAAUGGGAUUAGAUACCCCAGUAGUCCUAGCCGUAAACGAUGGAUACUAGGCGUUGCGUGUAUCGACCCAUGCAGUGCCGUAGCUAACGCGUUAAGUAUCCCGCCUGGGGAGUACGCACGCAAGUGUGAA
rnacentral:rRNA from 1 species